UACGUAGGGGGCAAGCGUUGUCCGGAAUCAUUGGGCGUAAAGAGCGUGUAGGUUGUCCGAUAAGUCUGCUGUGAAAGUCCAGGGCUCAACCCUGGGAUGCCGGUGGAUACUGUCGGGCUAGAGUGCGGAAGAGGCGAGUGGAAUUCCCGGUGUAGCGGUGAAAUGCGCAGAUAUCGGGAGGAACACCGGUGGCGAAGGCGGGUCUCUGGGCCGAUACUGACGCUGAGGAGCGAAAGCGUGGGGAGCGAACAGG
rnacentral:rRNA from 1 species